UGCCCCGCGCUGCCCAGCAGGCGCCCCUGCGCGGGAACCGCGACUUUGAGCUCGCGUCGCGUCUUAGGCUCCACGGCCCCGGCGCCGCCCUCCCGGACUACAAUCACCCGAAGGACCCGCGCCCUCAGCCCGCGCCCCCUGGGGCACGCCGGGGGUUGUAGUCUCGGCAGGGCAGUGGGUAGAAGGCUGGGCCUUUGUGGGGUUGUGGUGGCUAUGCAUACUGAGCAGCCAGUAAGGACCAUCGCUAUUCCAGAUGGGACAUUGCAGUGAAGAGGAGAGGCACGGCCUGCCUCCAUGGAGCUGAUGUUAUUUUAGGGAGGCAGACGGUAAUCAAAGAAACAAGAACUGUUUCUGAGGAGUUAGCAUCCCAGCUGAGGCCUGAAUAAAGGGAAGGACUCAGAAUUUUCCAGGAAGGCGACCACAGAGCAUAUUCAAGGACCUGCUGCAAUCCAUCCCGAGGAUAAUAAUGGAGGUCGUCAGAAAAGAGAUCUCAUGAGGGUCUGUGUUCACACACUUUGGCGCUCCUGAGGCCUACUCAGGGAACCGGAACAGAGGUCCUACUGAGGACAUAGGGCAACAUUUGCUUUUCUGGGAAAAAGAAUUUAAGCAAUGGUCAGUCCCCAGCAUGGCAAAUCCUAGUGUGGGGAGAGGUUAUGGAGGCAGUGAAGCUGUGAGGAGUGUCAGGAUACCUUCGAGCCCUGUCAAACAAAAGAAUGUUGCUGUGGAGAAGAAACCACACAUGUUAGUCACACAUGGAGGAAGCUUUGAGCAGGUUCCAGAGCCAGAUGUGUUGUAGGCAACCUGUGUGGACAGGAAGACCUGCAGGUGUGGCUUGUGUGGAAAGAGUUUCAAGCAGCACUUGGCCCUCUCUGUGCACUAGGGUACUCACCCUAGGAAAAGCCUUAUCUGUGUAGCACCUGUGGGAAAGUCUUUUUCCCAGUCUGACCGCAUUGAGCACCAGAGGAUCCAUAUUGGAGUGAAACCCUCCGAAUGCCAUGAGUGUGGAAAAACCUUCAUUCAGAGCUCCACACUCACAAUGCACCAGAGGACCCACACUGGAGAGAACCAGUACAAAUGUAGGCAAAGCCUUCCUGGGGAACUCAGACAUGUGGAAACACCUGCAGAUUCGCACAGGGGAGAAGCCCUAGCAGUGUUGGAAUUGUGGGAAAGCCUUCAGGUGGAGCUCGCCCUGAUCCACCGUCAGAGGACACACAGUGGUGAGGAGCCGUGUGGGUGUAUUGAGUGUGGCAGGCCUUUGGGCAGAGUUCCACACUCAGUGUCACAAGAUCCACACAGGCAAGAGGACUUACGAGUGCUUGGACUGUGGCAGAGCCUUUAAAGGCAGCGCAGACCUUGGCCAGCACCAGCGGGGCCGGAUGGGUGAGAGGCCCUGUGCCUGGCAGGAGUGUGGCAAGGCCACAAGGCCUUCGUCCAGCGGUCACACCUCAGCCAGCACCAGCGCACCUACAUGGGCCAGAAGCCCUGCCUGUGCAGGGAGUGUGGCAAGGCCUUCAGCUACAGUUCACACCUGCUUCAGCACCACAGCACCUGGUAGCUGUGCUCUCUCCACUGCCCACAUCACCUCCCACCAUCUUGAAGGCCUGAGGCAUCUCAUCUCCCUCCUCCUACACCUCAUAGACUCUCAUUGCUUCCCUCCCCUUUGCCAGGGUUUGCCCUUUUACCUGGUCCUCUUUCCAUAUCCUUUCCUCUUUACAAAUUAAGGGGACACCUGGGUGGCUCUGUCACUUAAGCAUCCGACUCGUGACUUCAGCUCAGGUCAUGAUCUCACAGUUUGUGAAUUCAAGCUCCACCUUGGGCUCUGCGCUAACAGGACAG